rnacentral:rRNA from 1 species
AAACUAACAAGGAUUCCCUUAGUAACGGCGAGUGAACCGGGAAGAGCUCAAAUUUGUAAUCUGGCGUCCUUCGGGCGUCCGAGUUGUAAUCUAUAGAGGUGUUUUCCGCGCCGGACCACGUUUAAGUCUCCUGGAACGGAGUAUCAAAGAGGGUGACAAUCCCGUGCUUGACGUGACGACCGGUGCUAUGUGAUACACUCUCAACGAGUCGAGUUGUUUGGGAAUGCAGCUCUAAAUGGGUGGUAAAUUCCAUCUAAGGCUAAAUAUUGGCGAGAGACCGAUAGCGAACAAGUACCGUGAGGGAAAGAUGAAAAGCACUUUGGAAAGAGAGUUAAACAGCACGUGAAAUUGUUAAAAGGGAAACGAUUGAAGUCAGUCGUGCACUUGGUAUUCAGCCGUCUCUGACGGUGUAUUUGCCUUGUGCGGGUCAACAUCAGUUCUGAUCGACGGAAAAGGGCGGAAAGAAGGUGGCACCCUCGGGUGUGUUAUAGCUUUCUGUCGUAUACGUCGGUUGGGACUGAGGAAUGCAGCUUGCCGCAAGGCCGGGGUUCGCCCACGUUCAAGCUUAGGAUGUUGACAUAAUGGCUUUAAACGAC